CUUAGGCGUUGUUGGGUAGGGGAGCGUUCUGUAAGCCGUUGAAGGUGUGCUGUGAGGCAUGCUGGAGGUAUCAGAAGUGCGAAUGCUGACAUAAGUAACGAUAAAGCGGGUGAAAAGCCCGCUCGCCGGAAGACCAAGGGUUCCUGUCCAACGUUAAUCGGGGCAGGGUGAGUCGACCCCUAAGGCGAGGCCGAAAGGCGUAGUCGAUGGGAAACAGGUUAAUAUUCCUGUACUUGGUGUUACUGCGAAGGGGGGACGGAGAAGGCUAUGUUAGCCGGGCGACGGUUGUCC
rnacentral:rRNA from 1 species